UACGUAGGUGGCAAGCGUUUGUCCGGAAUUAUUGGGCGUAAAGCGCGCGCAGGCGGUCCUUUAAGUCUGAUGUGAAAGCCCACGGCUCAACUGGGGAGGGUCACUCGAUACUGAUCGACUUGAAGGCAGGAGAGGGAAGCGGAAUUCCCGGUGUAGUGGUGAAAUGGCGUAGAUAUCAGGAAGAACACCCGUGGCUAAGGCGGCUCUCUAGUACGGUACUGACGCUGAGACGGCGAAAGCGUGGG
rnacentral:rRNA from 1 species